rnacentral:rRNA from 1 species
UACGAGGGGAGCAAGCGUUGUUCGGAUUUACUGGGCGUAAAGGGCGCGUAGGCGGCCACGACAAGUCACUUGUGAAAUCUCCGGGCUUAACUCGGAACGGUCAAGUGAUACUGUCGGGCUAGAGUACAGAAGGGGCAACUGGAAUUCUCGGUGUAGCGGUGAAAUGCGUAGAUAUCGAGAGGAACACCUGCGGCGAAGGCGGGUUGCUGGGCUGAUACUGACGCUGAUGCGCGAAAGCCAGGGGAGCAAACGGG